CCACUCAGAGUAGUUGAGGACAAGUUCAGGCCCGGUGGGAUCCUUGGAGUCGCGCAGCCGAACGCUCGGAGGAACCACCGCCCACUCAAGGCAGUCCCCCUCGCCACUGAAGCUACUCUUACGCCAUCGGGGUGAGCUUUCGAACUCGGACAACUCAGAUGUCCUUUCCCUGGCAGUUAGCCCCAUGGUGAGAAGCUAUUACGCGCAUCCUUGCACGUUUAUCGCACCACUCCGAUGAGGCCUCCGUACAGACCAUUCUGCCACAGUAACCGCAACCUCAUGGAGGCCUCAACAGCGAUAACGCACCGAGCCAUGUUGCAAAACGCCAGGUCGCAUCGUGACGCCAUAUCUACACUCGUCCAAACUGUGAUGUAGCAUUACGCUUGACCGAUGAGCCAUC
rnacentral:misc_RNA from 1 species